AAACCACGAUGAGGAUACUCUAAGAGGAGGUCUUUAAAACGUUCCAUACAUCCAUAAAAUGAUUCAUUGGGUUUUUGACGAAACAGGAGAAUAUCGUUCCUAAGUUU
rnacentral:snoRNA from 1 species